rnacentral:tRNA from 1 species
CGACGUGUAGCUCAGCAGCAGAGCACCGGGCUCUGACCCCGGAGGGCGCAGGGGCGGAACCUGCCACGUCGG